UAAUAAAAAAACAGAAAUAAUAGAUAUAUAAAUACUUUGAUCUUCAAUUGAAUGCUAUUGAAUGCGAUAGAAUACUACCGAAUGCAUCCGAAUGCAUCCGAAUGUUGCCGAACGCGUUGAUCUCCGCUAGUAGAAACAAACUUUUUUGAUUCUAGCCAUACCGUUACUAUACGCCGCUUUCUUCGCAGUUCUCCUCGCCGCUCCACUGUAAACACUUUCAUUACAUUACAUUGAUUUGUUUUGUCGCGAUUCUCACCUUGCCGCUCACCAAUGAUUUCAGAAAUACGAGGGACCGCUACGAUGAAUAAAAUAGGAUGUCAAGGAAAAGCAAUUACGUGUUGCGCAGCGGAAGAUCUUAAUUUAAAUUAUCGCCCUCUGCAAGAUAACCGUCUUCAAGGAUCGCUGUUUCAAGUUAAAUUCAUCGUCAUGCAUGUGCGUUCUCAUUGACAUUUUCACCGUUUUCUUCAAAAAACUACGAAUCACAAAAAGUAAAGAAAGAUUUAUUAGUAUGUUAGGCACAUCUUUUUAGCGAUUUUUCGAUGUGGCGAUAUCAGUGAAAGAAUCAAUUCAUUGAUUAACACCCUGUGCGCGGAGCAGAUCGAGUUUGACAAAGACCGCAAUAUCGAAUUCGUGCCAGAGUGCGGUAAUGAAAAACGGCGCCCAGCAACCAUGUGGUAUCUCCGAGGUCAUCGGCAAUUUUAAAGGCGGUCUGCAGUCAGUUGCCAUCUGCAAUUCCAAGGUUGACCUAAUCAAGAUCCUCAAUAAGUAAGAGGAACUGCAUUUUAUCGUACUUCGUCUCGUCUCUGUCUUGUGUCCUCGUCCUUCUGACGUUAAUAACGAGCCAUGCAGUGGUUCAAGAAAGUGCAACGAGUUCAAAAUACUUCUGAGAAGCAGAUUAUCAGUCAAGGACAAGACUCGAAUGGCCAUCGAGAGGUCGAACCGAUAUAAAAGUGUCUGGCACUUACUCGAACUGGCGAAUUCUAUUAUCUAAGGCCGAAUUACAAAAGGCUAAUUGUCGCGAUCUUGUGCACCGAUGCACUCCGAUAUGAAAGUCGAUGGACAAGUCUCUGGCGUGGAACGAAGAUCGUUGAACGAUCACUACAUUGUGUCUCGUAGUCUCACAGAGGGAAAAGAAGAUGAGACAAAUGCCUUCCUCUUUCUUUUCCAUUUUCGAGACGUUUGUGAAAGAAAAUAAAAUGAAGACGCUGGUAACUAUGACACAAAUAGCGCCCAUGGUCUAAGAGGAGAGGGGAUAAGGAUUUUCUCUCCUGUAGCGACAAACUUGUGUAAUCCUGCUCUGUAAAAUCGCGUCACGAUGAUCUUAAUUUUCGUGGACAAUGCCGAAGGAAUCCGACAAGGCUUUACGAUUUCCAGUUCCAUCGAUGGAACUCUCUCCAGAAAUUUUCCAUUGCAAAUGAACUGCAAUAUUGUGCCGCGCACGCUUCGGACGAUCGUGCGGUUCUCGCGCAAACUGUUAUCACAAUCAUGACAGUAUCAAACUCGAUCAGUUGACUGGGAAGUACAGUGCAGAACAAAAAGAUAUGUUACUGCUCAUGUAUGUUCAGUUUAGAAUACACAUUUUUAGUACACUGUGUAUAUCGUACUUAACAUUGUACGUAAAUACACAAAAAGAUCAGUUUCUCGGAACUUGGUUUACGAAUGUUAUGAAAAGAAAUGUAAAUAUGUACGAGCUCCUUCUAGUGGGACAAAAUUAUACGUCGCAUGUAUAUUUUCAGAUCCUCGUUAGUUGUUGCUGAAGCAUUAACAAGAGUAAACGUAUCGAGUAUAAUCGUAAGCAGUGUGGAGUGCAUUAUUUUCAAUUCAUUUCUAGUUCAAAACUGAAUCGAGCAAAGGAUCUGAAGAGCAAUUUAUAGAAUUUCGUUGUUUCGAUCUCAGAGGUAUUCUAUUUCAAAAAUUGUGAAAUUAGUUAAUCGAAAUCGUGUACUGCUUGCUUUGUUAAAAAAGUCUGAUAAUUCAAGGAAAAAAAAUCUAAUGGACGUCCACAUCCGUGCUAACAGAGUGAUAGAAAGGAGCCAUUGUACGUGAAGCUUCUAACUCUAAAAAAACUGGAAGAGAAAUUGCGAAGGCAGCACGACUAAUGAUAAAAAAAAAAAGAACAUAUUACGUGUUUUAAAAAGUUAUAAGCAUUCGAAACGUUAUAAAAAAGAACAUAUUACGUGUUUUAAAAAGUUAUAAGCAUUCAGAUAUUGAAACACUGACUUUCUUCAACAUAGCAUAAAGAGAAAUGCUUAGAAUUUGUCACGAGUCAUAUACAUUAGAAGAAACAAUGGAGGAAUAUUUAGCGACUAGAAAAAGUUCAAUUUGGAGAGUCCGAAUUACAAUAACUAUUACUUCUAUGAUUUAAAAAAGAAGGAUGUUAUAUUAAAUUGUAGACAAAUGGAAGAAGGAGGAAUUAUACUAUGAGCACGGGAAAAAUAAGUUUCAUUUGCAGCAGAAUGAAUAGUCAAAAAUAUAUUUUUAUUGACGAACAAUUAAGGAAAUAUGUCGCUGGACUGGCCGACAAGGUUCAUAAAUAUUACAGAAAAUGUAUAGGCAGACUUAUCUACGAAAGUUUACAGGAGGAAUAUAGUUUCAAACAUUCAAGAAUUAAUUAAAAAUAAUAGAAAAAUGGAAUGAUUUGCCACAAAAUAAAAUUAGAAAAUUAUAUAAAUCAAUUUCAAAGCGUUUAAUUGAUGGAACAAGAGGAAAGGUAUGAUCACGAAAUAUUGAUGAACCAUCUAAACCAAUCUGCAGAACCGAGCACAUAUGAGGGAUGGCGUAUCAUUUUGUCCCGGACUCUACCUAAUCUUACGUGACCAACUGGUGGGGACAACGCUCGUAAAUCUGUUUGGGUAGCCGAGAACAGGAAUUCCUCGUCCGUCCAGCAUUAAUCAUCGAUCUCGAUUGCCUGCUAAUCAAGAUGCUGCUGAUAUCACGCUCUCUUCGUUCGAUUCAACGGAUCCAACUUGAAGCGUGCCGAUCUGACUUCGACGUAUAAGUAGCGUUGAGCAGAUCGGUGGCUUGCUGUCUUUCAACAUUAAUGAAAGUCAGCUGAUUCAAGAUAGAGUUGUUUUAAGAUUAGAUUGGUAGGAUUAAGGAAUGUAAAUUGUCGUAAGAGGAAGAUUGAUAAAAUUUGAGUGAGUUUGAUAGUCGAGCCUUGACCUGUGGUAUGUCGUUGGGUUGCUCCGAAACUUGUGUGCGCACUGUGCGAUUGUCAAAACAUUAACUGUCGUUUUUUUUUUUAUUUAAUUAAUCAGGAUGUCUCGUCUGCAGUACCCUGGGCCUGGAGUGCCCUUUAACUUGCAUAAAGAUUGAUAUUAUUAGUUUGUGGAUAUUUAUGUGGUUUGUUUGCAAGGUGAGGUGAAGUUAGGCUUGCAGGAAAAGUUUCAAAUAACCUGCAGGUUCCCUGAUACAGUUUGAAUCUGAAGGUUUUGGUUUGUUAGGUUAAUGUGUAUUUAGGUAAUUUGACCUUGACUUGAGUGGUUUUCGACUUGAUAGUUGCCUGUUUCCCUGAUGAGGGGGUUUUGAUGGUGUUGUAGGCCUCGGAUAGUGAGUUUUGCAUAUACUGCUUGAUCGUGGAGAUGUUGGCUAAUUAAUGGAGCUGUGCUACAGCUGUGUCCCUCUGUUUAUUGAGAAUGAUUCUAAGGAAUUUGUUUUGUAUGAUUUGUAUUUUGUUGAUAUGUGCUUUGGCAGCAGAGGUCCAGAUUUGAUAUUCAUAAGUAAUUAUUGGUCUUACGCAUGUUAGAUAAGAAUUAUUGGUCUUACGCAGUAAGAUUUUGAUGUUUUUCUUGAGUUUGCUAUUUCGGGCUAUAUAUCCUGAAUACUGCUGAGUAUGUGAGAGCAGUUCUUUUUUCUAUGGCUUUAGCCCAUGCGAGUUUAUUGUCUAGUGUUAUUCCUAGGUAAUUGGCCGUAUUGGUCCAUGGGAUGGAGUGUUCAUCGAUCAGCACUUUAGCUGUGACUUGCAGGGGUCUGCGGGAGAAUGUGAUGGCCUGAGUCUUUUUUGGGUUAAUUUUUAGUCUCCAUUUUUUCGUGUAUUCAAGUAUGGCAUUGAUGUGGGUUGAUGUGGCUUCGUUGCCUGUGUCGGGUUCCAUGAUGACGCGUAUAUGGCAGUAUCGUCCGCAUAUAUGGCGGUUUGGGUGUUAGUGGUGGUGGGAAUGUCGUUAAUGUAUAUACAGAAAAGCGUUGAUCCGAGUGUCUGAUUUGGUCCCUUGUACUGAUACAUAGAAUUGUCUGUUUUGUAAAUAGUUUUCGAUAAUGUUGAUGAUUGGGGUGGGAGUUCUGAUUUUUCGUAGUUUGUACAGUAGGGCCUCAUGCCAGACCGUGUCAAACGUUUUCUCGAGGUCGAGUAGUAUCUGUUGUGUUAUCCUAUUUUUGUUUAGUUCUAUUGUGGUGUAUUCCGUAACUCUUUGUAGUUGAUUAAUACACAAGUGCUUUUUACGGAAUACAAAUUGCUGUGGUGUAAUUAUGUUGUUGUUAAGAUGCUCGAGGAGAUGGUGGUGAAUUUUUCUAGUACUUUACUUAGUGUGUUUAACAGGCUGAUGGGCCUGUAGCUGGUGGCUUCUGUGGUUGGUUUACCGGGUUUGGGAAUCGGAUGAAUUUUAUCUAGCUUUCAAGUUUUGGGGAAGUAUGAUAGUUGGAGACAUGCUUUGAAGAUGUAAUAUAUUUGCACCGCGAUUUUUUUAGGAAGAUUUUUUAGUUCGUCGUUUGUGAUCUUGUUUGGACCGGGGGCUUUGCUGUUUGGUAGCUUUGUGAUUAUUUUGUGUAUGAUGUGAAGGGUUAUGGUGAUAUGCGUUGUGGAGAGUGGAAGUGUUUCCCUUGUUGUGGUAGUGGUCUGUGGGGAGGGCUGGUUAAUCAGAUUGUUUGCAGUGUUGGGUUGUAACUCGUCGUUGUGUGUUUUGGCGAAGUAUGCGGCAAGGGCAUUUGCUUUAUCUAGGUCCGUGUAGUGUGUGGAGUUAUCUGCAGGUUCAUUUAGCGAAGGUAUGGGGGAGUUUUUUAGUCCUGUCAUCUUGUACGUCUGCCAUAGUGUGUAAUCUGGUUUCUCUAUUUUUUCUAGGCAGUUUUGCCAGAUGUUGUUUCGGGUGGUUUUGAUUCUUUUUUGUAUGAGUGUUAUUAAGAUGUUUUUCUAUAGCUUGUGUAGCGGGUGCCCCGUCUUUUGGUAUUUUCUUCUGUGUCUGUUGCGAUUCGUUAUUAGGAUUUGCAAAUGUGGAUCAGUGUACCCUGUUUUGUCUAUGGUUUUGGUGAGUCGAGAGGCAUUGUAGUGGGCAUGGUGUAUGUUCUUCUGGAGCGUGUUGAUCUGUUUGUCUAUGUCUUCUUGACUGCUGAUGUGUUGGUUUAGCUGAAACGUGUUGCAGAUUUUUCUGUAUAGUUUCCAGUCUGUGUGUCGUGUGUUCCGUUUUUUCUUCAGAUAUUGAUUGGUAUGAAUGGAUAGAAUUACUGGGAGGUGAUUCGAGGAUAGGUCGUCUAUUGUUUUGAUGGAGUAUUCUAGUUGUAUGUUGGAUAAGAAGAUGUCUAUGUUUGAGGGUUUGCAAUUGGGUUGUCUGUAUGUGUAGGUGGGGGAGUGAAGGAGUUGAUAUUGGCCUGCGAGGAAGUGAUUUUUUAGAGCCAUUGGUGUUCCUGGUAGAGUUAUUCCAGUCCUGGUGUUUAGCGUUGCAGUCGCCCCCAGUGAUAUAUGUUACAUGUUUAUUUUGAUGAGUAACCUGGUUUAGAUCUUCUGCGGUGAUCUUGUGUCUGGGAGGAACGUAUACUGCGGUGAUAACCAGGGGAGGUAUUGUUUUGAUUUUAAUUGUUAUGGUUUUCACAGGAGAGGUUGUGAUCUGAGUAUAGUCCUAGGAGGGGAUGUUUUUGUGGGUGGCUAUCAGGACUCCUCCUCGCCGGGGCUCACCUAGGGCGAAAGUCCAGUCUUUCCUUCGUACGUUGUAUUGAGAAAGGUGGAGUUUGUCGUUGGGUCCAAGCUAAGUUUCAGUGAUGAUGGCAAUGUCUAUUUUUUGUUCGAGGAGAAAUCUUUGCAGUUCGUGUUUUUUGUUUUGGAUGCUUGUAGCAUUCCAUAGCAUGAGGUUGAGUGUAUGAUUAGUAGCCAGCUUCCAAUUCCUUGACAAUAAGGAUUGUAGCCUUGACUCUUUCGAUGUUAGAGGUGCAUUUGGUGUAGUGCUUUUGUAUCAGUUCUAGGAUUCUAAGAAAGAUCUGAGUGUUUGACUUCAACAAGCUAUGAUGCUGUUGAGGUUUGUGUUUGUACUUGGAUAAUCUUGUGGGGGUGUUUGCCUCGUUAGUGCGUUGGCGUAGGAGUGUGGUCUGUUUCAUGUGUCCGGUGGCAGCGGAGUGUUGGGGCUGGGAGUUUUUGAUGGAGUUUUGGCGUUUGGUAAGGAGGGAUAUGCUUGCGAGGGAGAUUGGAGGGGGGAAUAAGUGUUUUGAAGUUGCUGAUUCUUGUAGAAGUUUUUCUUGGCCAAAUAGGCUAUGAGUACUGGGCAUUUUGAAUAGUUUGCCGUAUGGUUUCCUUGGCAGUUUGUGUAGGUUGGCGGGGCUUCUGGCUUUUUGGUGCAUUCUUUUGUGUUGUGUGGACCGGCACACUUGACACAUACUGCGUUUUUGUUGCAGUUAGUAGAGGAGUGUCCGUACGCCUGGCAGUGGUAACAUUGAAUUGAUAGUCUUUUAGAUUCGUACUUCUCCCAGUAGACUUUGAUGUUUUCUAUAAAUGGUUUACAUUGGCUAGUGUGGUGCCUGGUGCAAAGGUGACCCUGUAGACCGGGUAUUUGGUGUGUGCAGGCAGCUCCGUGCAGUUUAGUGCUUUGAGUCCUUGGGCUUUCAGGUUAUUUAUUAUUAUUUUUCAUUUAACUUAACCGGGCCCUUCAGAACUACUGUUAGGAUUUUUUCGGUGGAGACUGUGAAGGUGUGGAACUGAAUGUUUUGUUUUCGGCAUACCUAUUUGAAAUCGUUGUAGUCCGUUAGGUUAUGGAACAUGAUUUUAAGUUUUUGAGAGACAUAUUUUAUGUAGUAUCUAUUGUAGUAGCUGGUUUUUAGUGCUUCUAAUAAUUUUGCGUGAUUAAUGUUUCCAUAUAAGUAGAUAGGCGGUAGCUUUACGUUGGUAGGUUUCUGGGGAAUUUCCGGUUGAGUGUUAAGGUCUUCGUUUGUUUGUUCUGUGUUGGCUCGGUCGGUAUCUUGCAAUAGGCAGUCAGCGAAUAUGCUGAAUCUAUUUUGUGUAGGGAUAUUAGGUUUUGUUUCCAUACCUAUGUUAGUUAUUUUUGAUGGUGAGGGUGAUCUCUUCCUUAUUGUUAUGGGACGGAGCACAUAUUCCAUGGCCUUUCUUUUGGCCGCAGGCCGUGUGUCUGUUUUUUCCACGUCCGUUUUGGGUUUGUAUUUUUCUUUUUCCUCGUGUAUCCAUUGUGUGAUGAAGGGAACCUGGGCUGGCACUGUAGCACUACACUAUUAUCACGAAUGACUCCAACUGAACUCUGACUCUAACUCAACUGAACUCGUGAUGCAACUCUCGAACUAACUCAACUCCUGUCUGAACUGUAAUUAAAAAGUCGAACUCCAACUCAUUGCCAGAACUAACUGUCGUUUCCCUUGUGGUCUUAUAUAGCUGGAUUCUAUAGUUUAGGGAGGUAUGUUAGUUGCUUUCAGAUGUGAGCGAGGUCGGUCCCAGAACGUAGUAUCUGCACUUUUUAACGGUCCCAGGAUGUGUCCCUCGCAAUAUGGGUUUGGAUUUAUGGAUGUCGUAAAAAAGUUGCGAUAAAGUUAUUUAUCGAGCCUUAAAAUUAAGCGUCGGGCAUGACGAGCCUUGGAAUUGGUAGUCAGGUAUGACUAAAAUAGAAGAUACAAGGUAACGAAGGACAUGGAAUGAACAUGAUCACGGGAGAUCCCUGCCGUCGAGAAAUUAGAAAUUGUAAAAUUGCUUUCCCUGGCCCGAUGAGUUCGUCCUUCGCGGUACCAACUCCACCUUCUUUGUGUUCGGUAAGGCCGAACACAAUUAUCUUCACGUCUAUCUCGAACGAAAACAUCGUCCCCCAAUUUCAGUUCGAGUCGUGAAAAAAAAAAAGAAAACUAACCGUAUUAUUAACGUCCUUUGCCCUCCUCCUUUCUUCUACUGCCGCAGUCCCGCUUGGUUCUCGGUAGAGUUGAUCUUCGUGCUAGCUUUGUUCUCCAGCUAAUGCUCUUGUCAUGAGACUACUAGCAUCUUCGGCGAUUUUACGCUUGACCAGUGGAUUUGACAGUUUUCCGGGUAAAUUCUCGUUGAACUGACCCAGUGAGGUUCCUCGAUUCGUAUUUGAAAUUUUCGAAGCUGUCACGCUUCCGUUCAUCCAUUUGUCUCAAUGCAGAUUUUUAGCGGAGGUUUCUUUCGCACUGUAAAAAUCGUUAUCGAGCUUGUCUUCGUCCUCGGUCUUCUUCCACGCAUCGUCCUCGUCGUCUUCCUCUUUUUUGAACUUACGGAUACUUGUAAUCUUCGAACCGACUCUCCUCCUAUCGAAUAGGAGAGUCUGGACUCACUGCAGUUAGGACGAUGCGUUUUUCUACCGUUAAAGCGCCAGUCGUAUCUAUUGUCAUGGAAAUUAUUCCAAACAAAAAUAUUCAUUUAGACUACCAACACUAAACUUCCUUGGUUAAUGUGAACAGUAUAUGGUAGUCGGGGUAGUGUUUCUGUUUGAGUGUUUCGAACACGAUUUGUUGCUGGUUCAUCCAAUGAAAUGGUACGUCUCUUUUUUCUUCUUUUUUUUUUAUAUUUUUGCUUUUAUCAUCUAUUUUUUUUGCUUUAUGAUUUA